UACGUAGGGUGCGAGCGUUGUCCGGAAUUAUUGGGCGUAAAGGGCUCGUAGGCGGUCUGUUGCGUCGGGAGUGAAAACUCAGGGCUUAACCCUGAGCCUGCUUCCGAUACGGGCAGACUAGAGGUAUGCAGGGGAGAACGGAAUUCCUGGUGUAGCGGUGAAAUGCGCAGAUAUCAGGAGGAACACCGGUGGCGAAGGCGGGUCUCUGGGCCGAGACUGACGCUGAGGAGCGAAAGCGUGGGGAGCGAACAGG
rnacentral:rRNA from 1 species